rnacentral:lncRNA from 1 species
AUUAAUAAAUAUGUACUCUACAAAUAAUAUUGAGAGAAUCUUCAGUUUAAUUUUGUUUUAAUAUAUAAUUUCGCAUAAAAAACAAGCAUUGAAUUUAUAUAUAAGUAUAUAUGAAUACAUUUAUUUGCAGAUGGGCUGUCAUUCAUUUGUACUCUGAAUAGCUUCGUUCCAUUUUUCUCAGUGCUUUGAAAAACAGAAAGAAAAGUGAGUCAAGCUAGCAAUGUAGGGAAUGAAUAAAUGGUUGGGCUCUACUACAUUGUAUUGAGUACUUGUUACUGUUGCUUGUUAAACUCAAAUGCAUAUGUGUGCAUGCAUGUACAUAUAUAUAUAUAUAUAUAUAUAUAUAUAGACAUGCAUAUGUACAUAUAUAUGUACAUACAUUGUAAAUUUAUACAUAGAACCAGGAUGAUAUUAUAGAAAUAUAUAAAGCAGAGACAAGAGAGAGAAAGUAAAGGUGAUGUUGAAACAUCAGUUUGAGAGUAAUAUAAUAUAUUUCUAAAGGCAGGUACCACAAAGAGGAAAGGAGGUGGAGAAAUGUGUAGUAGCAUAUCAGUAGAGAGAUCAUUGGAACGGUCAGAAGUGAAUGGUGAGGAAAUUAAGGGGUACAAUUACUGAGAUCAAUAUAUAAAGAUUGUAGAAGAUAGGGGAACGUCAUGGAGAUCAAUGAUUGUUGGAAGGGGUCAGAAUGUUUUGAUGUUUAUUGUAAAUGAGGUAGAGGGGUGAAGAAAGUUUUUACCUCUCAGGUGAGGGUUGACAGCCAUGGCUCUAAAAACACCUGUUUAGCAAUCUGUGAAAAUGUGUUUGCUACACUGCAGAGAUGUGUUUAGAUGUAGUGGUGUUUAGAGAUCUAUGGAAACAUUAGUAAAUCUGUAGAGACAUAUUUAGAGAUCUAUAGAAAUAUAGUUAAAAAUAUGUUGAUGUAAGGUUAGAGAUCUGUAACAAUGUGUUUUGAGAUCUACUUAGGAAGUCUGUAGAGUUGGGUUUAGAGAUCUAUAGCAAUGUAUCUAGAGAUCUGUAGAAAAGUGUUUAGAGAUCUGUAGAGAUGUGUUUAGGGAUGUAUAGAAGCAUCUAGAAACCUCAAAUGAUGUGUUUAGGGAUGUAUAGAAGCAUCUAGAAACCUCAAAUGAUGUGUUUAGGGAUGUAUAGAAGCAUCUAGAAACCUCAAACGAUGUGUUUAGAGAUCUGUAGUGUUUAGAAAUUCAUAGAAAUAUAUUUAGAAAUCAGUAGAAAUAUGCUUAGAGAUCUUAGAAAUUUCACUGAAAUGUGUUUAGGGAUCUGUAGAAAUGUACAUAGAGAUCUGUAGUGUUUAGAUAUAUAUGAGUUUAGUUAUCUAUGUGUUUAGAGAUCUACAGAAAUAUAUAGAAAUCUGUAAAGAUGUGUUUAAAGGUCUAAGGACAUUUGCAGAGAUCAAUAGAGAAAUGUUUAGGAGUCUUAGAGAUCUAUUUAAAUGUCUGUAGAGAUGUGUUUAGAGAUCUGUAGUGUUUAGAUAUCUAUGUGUUUAGAGAUCUACAGAAAUAUAUAGAAAUCUGUAAAGAUGUGUUUAAAGGUCUAAGGACAUUUGUAGAGAGAUCAAUAGAGAAAUGUUUAGGAGUCUUAGAGGUCUAUUUAAAUGUCUGUAGAGAUGUGUUUAGAGAUCUAUAAAAUAUACAUUUUCUUAGAGAUCUUUAAGUAUGUGUUUAGGUAUCUGAAUAUCUGUAGGAAUAUGUUUAGAGCUUCACUGAGAUGUGUUAAGAGGCCAGUCAGGCUGUCUUGAGAAAGCUAUGGAAAGAUAUGGAGAGAUUUGUAAUAAUAUGUUGAAAGGUCAGAUGAGAUGUGUUUAGAGAGCUGUACAAAUGUGUUUAGAAGCUUGUUGAGGUGUGGUAAGAUAUCUGAAGAAACGUGUUUAGCAAUCUGUAGUGGUGUGUUUAGUGGUCUACAGAGAUGUAUUUAGAAAUCUGUACAGAAGUCUAAAGAGACAUGUGGAAAUGUGUUUAGAGGUAUGUACAGAAGUGUUUAGAGAGAGUGAGAGAGAGAAGAGUGAGAGGGCAGAGAGAGAGAAGAGAUGAGAGAUCAAAUUGACAGUAAGGAGAUCAAUGGAAAAAAAAAAUUGUUUAUUUACAUUUUAUUUACAGCUCUGUACAGACAUAUUUAGCAACUGCAGUGCCAGAGUAGUGGUGGCAGUGAUGGUGGUGGUGGUGGUGGCGGUGGUAGUGGUGGCGGUGGUGGUGAUGGUAGUGGUUGUGGUGGUGGUGGUAAUGGUGUCAAUGGGGGAUGAUGGUGGUUGACGGCGAGGUGCAGGUGAUGAAAGUGAUAGUAGUAGUAAUGGUGGUGGUGGUGAGGGUGGCGGCGGCGGCGGUGGUGGUGUUGGUGGUGGUGGUGACGGUGCUGUUGCUGCUGCGGAUGGUGCUGGUUGUUCUUAUGGUUGCGGUUACAAUGUGCAUGAAUGUGAUAGGCAGAUAACAACAGUAGUAGAGGUGAUAGGUGAUGGCGGCAGCGGCGGUGGUGGUGUUGGUGGUGGUGGUGGAGGUCAUAGUUAUGACGGUGACGGUAGGACGUGGUGGUCAUGGUGGUACUGGUGGUAGUAUUGGCGGUGGUGGCGGUGGUGGCGGUGGUGGUGGUGGUGGUAGUAGUGCUGGUGAUGCUGGUAAUGACAGAAGCCAAGUCUAUUCGGCACAUACCAGUGUGCAGUCGGUGGUGGCGGUGGGGGUGCGGGUAUAGACGAGAUCCCAACAAGAAACAUCAUAGUAAUGAUGAUGAUGAUGAUGAUGAUGAUGAUGAUGCUGACGAUGAUGACGAUGACAAAUGACAAUGAAGGUGACGACAAUGACAAUGAAAACGAUGACGAUGACAAUAAUGGUGACAACGAUGAACAAUUUGGCAAUGUGAUGCUGCGUUGGCUAUUCAAAGAUGGUAGUAAUUAUUUUCAAAGAAAACAGUCUAGUUACACAAAAG